GCAAACUGUUCUGUGUAUCGUCGUGCAUUAUCUUUUGAAACAUGGUCGCGACAAGUGCUAGAAGAUAUACAUCGUAAUAAUACUUCACGCUUAUUACAAAUCGAAUCAAUUGAAUUUCUUUUACAGAAUCGAACGGAUGGAAAUCAUUGAAGCAGGAAGUUUGCUGCGGAUCGAGUGAUUUAAACAAUAGAAA